GAUGAAGAACGUAGCAAAAUGCGAUAAGUAAUGUGAAUUGCAGAAUUCAGUGAAUCAUCGAAUCUUUGAACGCACAUUGCGCCCGCCAGUAUUCUGGCGGGCAUGCCUGUUCGAGCGUCAUUUCAACCCUCAAGCACAGCUUCGUGUUGGGACUCGCGUUAAUUCGCGUUCCUCAAAUUGAUUGGCGGUCACGUCGAGCUUCCAUAGCGUAGUAGUAAAACCCUCGUUACUGGUAAUCGUCGCGGCCACGCCGUUAAACCCCAACUUCUGAAUGUUGACCUCGGAUCAGGUAGGAAUACCCGCUGAACUUAAGCAUAUCAAUAAGCGGAGGA
rnacentral:misc_RNA from 1 species